ensembl:lncRNA
UAUAUAUUUUUUAUAUGUAUAGUGUCAGGCAAAUUCAUUCCUGUAUUUCAUUUAUUUUUUACAAAAAUGCAUAAUCUCACUUGACCCCACUCUCUCUCUCUUACACAUAGUCUGGAGGAAGCGUCGGAGCAGGCGAUGUCAGGAAACACUGAUGAAUGAGCACACGGGAGGGGGAAGGGGAAGGUCUGAAUGUACAGGACAAAUGGUUGCAUCUGAAACACAAUAUCCUUCUUCAUUUAUCAUCACCUACUAAUAUUCGACCUCACACACACGCAUCCUGUUAUCUCUGGUGCUCAUUUAUUUAGUCUCCAACAGAGACACUCUGUCACUGGUUCAAAUAGCAGCAUAGCAACCAAAUUACAGUAUAAUGAUGUGUGUGUCUGUCGUACUGCAUCAGUGUGUUCCUGCCACACACACACACACACACACACACACAGCACUAAUAUUUGACCAUUUAGUAUAACUAUUUAGUAUUAAUAUACAAAAGAACAGUGAUGGCUGGCUAAUAAAGGGCAAUGGGGUGUCGCCCCCACCUGGACUGACUAACCCUUUUUCAAUAUGAUAAAAAAAACUUUAAAAUCGUAUGUUUUAAGAUAAAAAAUAUUUUGUUUUUCUUUUUAAUAGUACCAAUUGCCAACCUGCCGCCUGCCGUGAAAUGAGGUUGAUCCAUUAUUUUACAAUGUAGUUCAUUCAAGUAAAGUUGUUUUCACAUAUUUGUAGUUAUUAUAUGGAAUUGUAAAAAUUAAUUUUACACAUAUAAAAUCAUUGAGCAACUGAAAAAGCAGGUAAAGCUUUUUAUGCAGGCGACAACGUGGGCGAUGCGUGCUAUUAUGAUGAGUUGGCAGAUAAGUACCAGCUGUCAAGGAGGUUUUCAUCCAGGUGCCGGACACCGUUCGUCAGACAGAAUGGACUGGAAGUAAGUUGGCUUUGUAUCGCAGAUAGCCAGGUGCUCAAAGAGAGGAUUAACAGGCGGUUAUCGCUGUCAUAGUGUCUAUCGGCACCAUCUGCAGGAAACCGGAGCAGCCGCUCACUUAGAUACGUUUAUUCAAUGGACAGAUGUUUGUAUAGGAAAUUAUGUCACUGCUUAAAGUGGACUUGAUGUUAACUUAAUGAAUAGAUGGUAUCCAGUGUGCUAAAAAGGUGGAUAAGAUCAAAUAUGGAGGGAUUCAGAGCUUUUACAUUGGGAAUACCAGAAUGAAGAUCUAGAAGAGUUAUACUUCUGUUAUCAGUAUUUAACCUGAAAGGAAACACAGACAAGCAGCAACGUGGAAUGAAAUAUCACCUAUGAAUAGUGUCGGCAGCAUUUUAAUUUAAUUAAGAAACAUGGACAUUUAAAGCAUCCAAGAGUAAUUGUAUGUUUUGAUUUCUCAUUAAAAAGUAAAAUGGAAAAUGCUUUCUUAAACACUUCAUUUUUCUGGGAAAAUUAUAUCUGCGAUAACUAGAAAAUAGUUUUUGGGUAAAUACAAUUUGAUUGAAAUACAAUAAACCCUACCCAGAGAAGUAAUGCACAUGAGAGGGUGUGUAUUAAUAAUGUCACAACUUCUCCAGUUAGAACCCAAAUGCAGACUGCGCAAGGUAGAUGGUGACAAGGUGAGUAUUUAUUGAACAAGGGGGAGUGGUAUUUCCGACACGCAGACAGGUGAAUUCCGGUGACGUUGUGAUGUGGGGAAAAGGUUCAGGUUGCCAGGCGGGAGUGACGGGAAUUCAGGGUGAAUGAACUAGAGACGGAGAUACAAGAAAUAGAUAAGCACACAAAACCCACUAUAAAAGGUGAACAGAGAUUGAUUCGCUGAGCACACAUACGAUUAUGGCUAACGAUCCGGCAGGGACUGGAUGUCAGGUCUCUGCUUAAGUACUGUUGUGAUGAUGAUCAGGGCCAGAUGUAUUGAUUGCUUGAUUGGUGACAGGCGCAAGGCAGGACCACUGCAGGGACAACCACCAUCAGAUAGAACCACCAUCCACAGAACCCUGUGGGGAGGGAAAGCACAGAGACUUUAGGAGAGGGUAAUGUUGGUUUAUGAUGAAAGUAACAGAAAUAUGAUUUGACAUUUCAAAUAAUAAUGACGAAGUCAGCAGGGCCACGACAGGUGUCAGAACCAGCGUCCAGAAGGAACUACAAUCCACAGAGACCUGCUGGGAGAGAAAGCACAAAAAAAACUCCUGGAAAGAAGCUGAAUUAGUGAUGUCAUUGUUGUAGAAAGAGAGAGUGAGAGAGGAUCUCGGUGUGUCCUAAGAAGUGCCCCGGCAGUUUAAGCCUAUAGCAGCUUAACUAACGGCUGGUCCAGGCUAACCUGAGCCAGCCCUAACUAAGCGAUAUCAAAGAGGAAAGUUUUAAGCUUUAUCAUCUUUAUCUAGCUGGCGUUACAAGCUCUUUAAGAUAAGACGGUGCCUCACCAACAAGUGCCAUGUAGGUGAGAAGUACCUUAAAUUCUAUUCUUGAUUUAACAGGGAGCCAGUGCAGAUAAGUUAAUACAGGAGCAUUAUGAUCCCGUUCCUUAGUUCUUUUCUAAAUGCACUGCAAACGCGGUGUGUUUGGGUUCAUGACAUCAUCUGUCUCGGUAUACAGCUUUGUAAAUUUCAGGAAGUGCGUCUGGAUGACUGCCGCUUUUAGCGCUACUUCAGGCUAACCAGCAGCCAGUUUCAUAAUGUGUUAGCUCGGAUCAGUGCCAGCGUCUCUCGGUUUGACACAGACUAACUAACUUACAGGCGUUCAAUCUCAGCUGCAGAGCACCUGUUUGUCUCUGAAUUGAUUUUGAAACAGCCACCCACCAAGUAGUAGUAGUAGUAGUAGUAGUAAACAGAAAAAUCAAAUGCGGAGAGAUAUAGAUAAUGUAACUGUGUUUUUAUCACUUUUACAAUAUUGCUAUCAAAUUCUUUUCAUGGUUUUAACAGGAGUAGUCUGAAUAAACCUAAACCUUUCCGUCCAAUCUCAUUGAUACUGGACACGAAUUUUGAACACCCAUUGACAGCACCAUGACCAGCUUUCUGAUACAUUUCAAUCCUCCAACACUGCUACUCCGUGUGGGGGAGCUGUGCUGUCUCAUUGUGCCCUACACAGGGCUUCACAGUGAGAGUAUUUCACUUGUAUUUGCGCCUUAAAAAUAGGUAUGUGCGGACAUUAAAAAUAAUUUAGCAGCACAGUGCGCGAGUGACUGGCUAUUUUCAAUUGAUUCCAUUGAUGUUGGAUUUGGAAGAUUCAACGUGAAAGAGGUGACUACAACUGCCACAACGUCAACGUUCACUGGAGCUGGCAGAGGGAGAACAUAUAUAGGCCUAUAAAAGCAGCUGGACAACCAAUAUCAUUUGGAUUUAGGCACAGUAUAUGCAUAACAUUUGUUUAUUAAAUGAAUACAAUAAAAAAAAAACACUGUGCUCCUAAAAUUCUUUACACAUUUACUCCUUGCGGACAACAUUAGCGUAGAGCCCUGGCCCUACAAAGGGUCUGAACAACUCACUAUUUGUUCUGGUAUUGGCGGCUUUAAUGUGACGAAUUAUCUCCUCUUCACUUCUAUGUAACACUCUUGACCUCCUCUGAUCACUGACUGUCAAAGGGAUGGAGCAAGAAAGACACUGUGAGAGGGGGUAGGUUAGAGGAUCCAAGCAAAAAAUGGAGGAAGGAAAUCAAGGACAAAGAAUGGACAAUGGUGAGGUUUUAUUUUGGCAGAUAUUGCCGUAAACCAAAAUGCUGAAAGAUGAAAUGGAUAAAAAGUCUAAGGCUCAAGAAUAGAGUCCAUCUGAUAGUAGUCCAAUCAAUACAAAAAAUGUUAAAAGGAAAAGUCGAUAUCAUCAGAUGCAUGAGGAUUUUACUUUUGUGAACCGCUAUUGUUGGUAGAACAAAGUGGUGGACUGACUGCCAGAACAAUGCUUUGAAGCAGGCCACUUACACUGCUUAAAGAGCCAGUGAAGACAUCUGGGGUCUCAUUUAUAAAACCAUGCGUAGGAUUUGCGCCAAAAGUGGCGUACGGUUGAAACAUAGGACGUGCGUACGCACAGAAAUAUUCAGACUGUAUUUCUGUAUAUUGAAACCGUGCGCACGCACGUCCUACGCAGUUUUCCUUUAAUAAAUCACAAUCACUAAUCACAAAUCACAAUCACUAAAUGCAGCGCAGCUUUUGCGGCUUCAUGUCACGCCCAUAGUUGCCCAUAUAUAGUCUGGAACGCCCACAAAUUAAUAUUCAACGAUUGCAAUAUCAUGACAAACACUGAGAGGAAAAAAAAGAAACGUAACUUCACUCAGUGUGAAGUCGAAAUUAUCAUUGGCGAGGUGGAAAAGAGAAGUAAAAUGCUUUUUGGAGGGCACACUAUGGACAUCACUAAUGCCAAAAAGGCACCUGAGUGGCAAAAGGUUGCACAGCAAUGCUGCAGCCUCACAACCUCGGACCAAAAUCAAGAAAAAAUGGUCUGAAAUCAAGAAAAAAUGGUCUGAAAUCAAAGUGGACACCGGAGCUGUCCCCUCUUGAUGAGAGACUGGCGAUGAUUGGGGAUCGGGGAGAGGGUCUGGGCCAACAUCGGCGUCAGGGGGUCGAGGCACGUUUGCACGAUUUGGACAUGAUGUGGCACAGCACAUGCAGCAUGAUUUUGCACACCUUUUCAGAA